UAUUUGUGUGCUUAACUAUGCAUGUCUCUUACAGGGCUCUCUCGCUGCCAUGACACUCAAUCAGAGCACCUAGAGUGGGCUGGCCGAGACCAGAGCGGGUACCAAGCAGAACAAGUACAGAGGAAGGCACUGAGAGAGCACCAGAACUGGAAAUAAAGCAGCCAUUUGGAUUUGGGCAGGAAGCAGCAGAGCACAGCUUUGGAUCCUUCUUUAGGGAAAUCGAGUUAUGGAUUUAUGGUCCCGGUCAAGCUCAGCCCAGCCCCAGCCAGGGGCGGGCUCAGCAGCAAGAGUUCUGGUGGCGGCGGCGGCAGUAGCAGCGGCAGCAGUAGCAGCGGCAGCAGCAGCUUGGUCCUCUGACUCUCUUCGGUGACGGGUAUUCUUGGGUGGAUAAUACGGAUUACGUUGUUAUUGCUUAAGAAUACGCGUAGUCGAGGAGAGUACCAGCGGCAGGCGGGCAGCGGCCGCCCCUUCCAGCCCACCAGCUGGCCUCUAAACGCCUGUGGUUGCCAAGACGUAUAUGAGAACAAUUUUGCUGGGUAUAUAUUUACUUCAAUUCAACCAUUUGGAGAAAUAAUGAAAAUUCUGAUGAGUUUUAAAACUCGUAGUACAAAUAUGCAUUGAUCUAUCACCACAGGGGUAUGUGAUGUAAUUGUGGCCAAUGAGACACAAGCCAACAUCUUCUAGAUUUUUUCCACUCUUCAGACAAAAGGAAGAGAUGCCUUUCAUCCAACCUUUGAACAGUCUUACGAGAAGCUGUUUGAAGCUGCUAUAGCCAUCUUGUAAGGCUGGAGAGAAUAUCAGACAUUCUAAGGAAGACAGAGAAGACAGUCUCUGAACCAACCCUGUACCACCCUACUUUUAUUAAAAGUUCUUGAUAUGUGACAUAAUAAAUUUUCCUUGUUGUUU